rnacentral:rRNA from 1 species
AAUACCGCAUACGUCCUACGGGGGAAAGCAGGGGAUCUUCGGACCUUGCGCUAAUAGAUGAGCCUAAGUCGGAUUAGCUAGUUGGUGGGGUAAAGGCCUACCAAGGCGACGAUCUGUAGCGGGUCUGAGAGGAUGAUCCGCCACACUGGGACUGAGACACGGCCCAGACUCCUACGGGAGGCAGCAGUGGGGAAUAUUGGACAAUGGGCGCAAGCCUGAUCCAGCCAUGCCGCGUGUGUGAAGAAGGCCUUUUGGUUGUAAAGCACUUUAAGCGAGGAGGAGGCUCCUUUAGUUAAUACCUAAAGUGAGUGGACGUUACUCGCAGAAUAAGCACCGGCUAACUCUGUGCCAGCAGCCGCGGUAAUACAGAGGGUGCGAGCGUUAAUCGGAUUUACUGGGCGUAAAGCGUGCGUAGGCGGCUUUUUAAGUCGGAUGUGAAAUCCCUGAGCUUAACUUAGGAAUUGCAUUCGAUACUGGAGAGCUAGAGUAUGGGAGAGGAUGGUAGAAUUCCAGGUGUAGCGGUGAAAUGCGUAGAGAUCUGGAGGAAUACCGAUGGCGAAGGCAGCCAUCUGGCCUAAUACUGACGCUGAGGUACGAAAGCAUGGGGAGCAAACAGGAUUAGAUACCCUGGUAGUCCAUGCCGUAAACGAUGUCUACUAGCCGUUGGGGCCUUUGAGGCUUUAGUGGCGCAGCUAACGCGAUAAGUAGACCGCCUGGGGAGUACGGUCGCAAGACUAAAACUCAAAUGAAUUGACGGGGGCCCGCACAAGCGGUGGAGCAUGUGGUUUAAUUCGAUGCAACGCGAAGAACCUUACCUGGCCUUGACAUACUAAGAACUUUCCAGAGAUGGAUUGGUGCCUUCGGGAACUUAGAUACAGGUGCUGCAUGGCUGUCGUCAGCUCGUGUCGUGAGAUGUUGGGUUAAGUCCCGCAACGAGCGCAACCCUUUUCCUUAUUUGCCAGCGGGUUAAGCCGGGAACUUUAAGGAUACUGCCAGUGACAAACUGGAGGAAGGCGGGGACGACGUCAAGUCAUCAUGGCCCUUACGGCCAGGGCUACACACGUGCUACAAUGGUCGGUACAAAGGGUUGCUACCUCGCGAGAGGAUGCUAAUCUCAAAAAGCCGAUCGUAGUCCGGAUCGCAGUCUGCAACUCGACUGCGUGAAGUCGGAAUCGCUAGUAAUCGCGGAUCAGAAUGCCGCGGUGAAUACGUUCCCGGGCCUUAAUCGCGGAUCAGAAUGCCGCGGUGAAUACGUUCCCGGGCCU